CCUACGGGGGGCUGCAGUGGGGAAUAUUGGACAAUGGGGGCAACCCUGAUCCAGCCAUGCCGCGUGUGUGAAGAAGGCCCUCGGGUUGUAAAGCACUUUCAGUGAGGAAGAACGCCUGGUGGUUAAUACCCAUCAGGAAAGACAUCACUCACAGAAGAAGCACCGGCUAACUCCGUGCCAGCAGCCGCGGUAAUACGGAGGGUGCGAGCGUUAAUCGGAAUUACUGGGCGUAAAGCGCGCGUAGGUGGCUUGAUAAGCCGGUUGUGAAAGCCCCGGGCUCAACCUGGGAACGGCAUCCGGAACUGUCAAGCUAGAGUGCAGGAGAGGAAGGUAGAAUUCCCGGUGUAGCGGUGAAAUGCGUAGAGAUCGGGAGGAAUACCAGUGGCGAAGGCGGCCUUCUGGACUUACACUGACACUGAGGUGCGAAAGCGUGGGUAGCAAACAGGAUUAGAUACCCGUGUAGUC
rnacentral:rRNA from 1 species